rnacentral:sRNA from 1 species
GUACGCAGCUAUCCAGGCUGAUCAACAUC